AACGAACGCUGGCGGCAGGCUUAACACAUGCAAGUCGAACGCCCCGCAAGGGGAGUGGCAGACGGGUGAGUAACGCGUGGGAAUCUACCCAUCCCUACGGAACAACUCCGGGAAACUGGAGCUAAUACCGUAUACGCCCUACGGGGGAAAGAUUUAUCGGGGAUGGAUGAGCCCGCGUUGGAUUAGCUAGUUGGUGGGGUAAAGGCCUACCAAGGCGACGAUCCAUAGCUGGUCUGAGAGGAUGAUCAGCCACAUUGGGACUGAGACACGGCCCGAACUACUACGGGAGGCAGCAGUGGGGAAUAUUGGACAAUGGGCGCAAGCCUGAUCCAGCCAUGCCGCGUGAGUGAUGAAGGUCUUAGGAUUGUAAGGCUCUUUCACCGAUGAAGAUAAUGACGGUAGUCGGAGAAGAAGCCCCGGCUAACUUCGUGCCAGCCGCCGCCGUAA
rnacentral:rRNA from 1 species